rnacentral:rRNA from 1 species
UACGUAGGUGGCAAGCGUUAUCCGGAAUUAUUGGGCGUAAAGGGUGCGCAGGCGGCAAAUUAAGUCCGUGGUAAAAGACUGAAGCUCAACUUCAGGUGGCCAUGGAAACUGGUAUGCUAGAGUGCAGGAGAGGGUAGUGGAAUUCCAUGUGUAGCGGUAAAAUGCGUAGAUAUAUGGAGGAACACCAGUGGCGAAAGCGGCUACCUGGCCUGUAACUGACGCUCAUGCACGAAAGCGUGGGGAGCAAAUAGG